GAAAUGCGAUAAGUAGUGUGAAUUGCAGAAUUCAGUGAAUCAUCGAAUCUUUGAACGCACAUUGCGCCCCUUGGUAUUCCAUGGGGCAUGCCUGUUCGAGCGUCAUCUACACCCUCAAGCUCUGCUUGGUGUUGGGCGUCUUUGUCCCGCCUCCGCGCGCGGACUCGCCCCAAAUUCAUUGGCAGCGGUCCUUGCCUCCUCUCGCGCAGCACAUUGCGCUUCUCGAGGUGUGGCGGCCCGCGUCCAGAAAGCAAUCGUUACCGUCUUUGACCUCGGAUCAGGUAGGGAUACCCGCUGAACUUAAGC
rnacentral:misc_RNA from 1 species